rnacentral:lncRNA from 1 species
UCCGUUCAAAAAUUAUAGCAAUUUUAUUUUAGUGAAAAUAUCCCUUUCGGGAUCGUGGAUAUAGGUCUAUUUGAGAGACCGAACCACAUAAAAAUUUUUGUAUUAUUUUUUCUUUUUUAUUCUCUCUAUUAUUUGUGUGAGUGCUUUCACUGCUGGUCUCAACAAUGUGAAGGCAUUUAGGGCUUUAGAUUGCAGAAGCUCGAAAGAAAACAAUGGUUUUGAAUGUGCUACAUGCUUCUAUCUUCAGCAUCAACCAGAGGGUUCCAACAGAGUUGGGUAAUGCCAUGGUUAUAUCCCUGUAUCCAACAUCGUGCUCAUAAGAACACAGCAAAAGUAUCGGUAGAAUGGGC